rnacentral:rRNA from 1 species
CAAAAANAUAGUUUUGAGAUUUUUCAUUAAUUCAAAAUUUCCCCUNCCCACUGAACUUAUCUAGUAUUUAAAUGGCCGCAGUACUUUGACUGUGCUAAGGUAGCAUAAUAAAUUGGCUUUUAAUUGAAGUCGAGAAUGAACGGGAUUUUAAUCAGAAUCUGUCUUAAUAUAGAUUUAAAGAAAUUACUUAUUAGGUGAAAAUUCCUAUGAUUACAUUUAAUAGACGAGAAGACCCUUAGAGUUUUUAUUAAUAAGGUAACUAAUUUAAAAUACUUAGAAGUUUCUGCCUUUUGAAUACGUCUUUAAAUUUUUGUUGGGGCAACAAGUAAACAAAAAAAUAAAACUUUACAAAAUAGAUAUUAAAGUAACAUAUAUAACUAUAAGACAAAAAUUAUUUUUUGAGUAAAUUAAGACUACCUGAGGGAUAACAGCAUAAUUUAGUAUAUAAGAUUAUGACCUCGAUGUU